GACGAACGCUGGCGGCGUGCUUAACACAUGCAAGUCGAACGGAAAGGCCCUGCUUUUGUGGGGUGCUCGAGUGGCGAACGGGUGAGUAACACGUGAGUAACCUGCCCUUGACUUUGGGAUAACUUCAGGAAACUGGGGCUAAUACCGGAUAGGAGCUCCUGCUGCAUGGUGGGGGUUGGAAAGUUUCGGCGGUUGGGGAUGGACUCGCGGCUUAUCAGCUUGUUGGUGGGGUAGUGGCUUACCAAGGCUUUGACGGGUAGCCGGCCUGAGAGGGUGACCGGCCACAUUGGGACUGAGAUACGGCCCAGACUACUACGGGAGGCAGCAGUGGGGAAUAUUGCACAAUGGGCGGAAGCCUGAUGCAGCAACGCCGCGUGCGGGAUGACGGCCUUCGGGUUGUAAACCGCUUUCGCCUGAGACGAAGCGAGAGUGACGGUAAUGGGUAAAGAAGCACCGGCUAACUACGUG
rnacentral:rRNA from 1 species